GGUGGGAUACUACCCUAAUUGUAUUGGAUUUCUAACCCGCAGCACUUAUCGUGCUGGGAGACAGUGUCAGGCGGGCAGUUUGACUGGGGCGGUCGCCUCCUAAAGAGUAACGGAGGCGCUCAAAGGUUCCCUCAGAAUGGUUGGAAAUCAUUCAUAGAGUGUAAAGGCAUAAGGGAGCUUGACUGCGAGACCUACAAGUCGAGCAGGGUCGAAAGACGGACUUAGUGAUCCGGUGGUUCCGCAUGGAAGGGCCAUCGCUCAACGGAUAAAAGCUACCCCGGGGAUAACAGGCUUAUCUCCCCCAAGAGUUCACAUCGACGGGGAGGUUUGGCACCUCGAUGUCGGCUCAUCGCAUCCUGGGGCUGUAGUCGGUCCCAAGGGUUGGGCUGUUCGCCCAUUAAAGCGGUACGCGAGCUGGGUUCAGAACGUCGUGAGACAGUUCGGUCCCUAUCCGUCGUGGGCGUAGGAAAUUUGAGAGGAGCUGUCCUUAGUACGAGAGGACCGGGAUGGACAUACCUCUGGUGUACCAGUUGUCGUGCCAACGGCAUAGCUGGGUAGCUAUGUAUGGACGGGAUAAGUGCUGAAAGCAUCUAAGCAUGAAGCCCCCCUCGAGAUGAGAUUUCCCAACUUCGGUUAUAAG
rnacentral:rRNA from 1 species